rnacentral:lncRNA from 1 species
GGGGCUGGAGGUGGCCAGCCUGUGUCUGAACAGCAGGAUGCGGAACCGUCGCCCAGCAUCUUCCCCUUGGCGUUCCGAGGGGACGGAGCGACCCCGCCUUUGCAUCUCAGGUGAUGGAAAACAGGAACGCCUCACGGGGGAGGAAGGGAAGCACCAAGGUCACCUGGAGUUUUAAGUCAAACCAAGAAACGAAGGAAGUCAAGUAUAAAGGCUGCGGUCCUCCGUCCUUCGGUGACCCCUACAACUGGACAGAUGGAGGGCGGGCUCCGAGUUUAGUGCACUAUACGAAAGUGGCCUCGGGAGAAAUAACUUCGUGUAGUGUUGUAACCUUAAAAAUCCAGACAUGAAACGGAAGGGAAACAGGCUCUCACUACAAAGCCCUGGCUGGCCUGGAUCUCACUAUGCAAUUCUGACUAGUUUGAAACUCACUGUGGAGACCAGGCUAGCCUCAAACUCACAGAUAUCCGCCUGAGUUCUGCUGCCCAAGAGCUGGAAUUAAGUGCAUCAUCCUACCCUGCAGACCUGCUAUCUUGUUUAUUCAGUGGCUAGGCUUGAACUUCUAAUCUUCCUGCGUGAGACCCAAGUGUAGUCCUGUUUAAAAGUGACACCAGGGGCUGGAAA